rnacentral:rRNA from 1 species
CAGGCCUAACACAUGCAAGUCGAGCGAGAAAGUGACUUCGGUCACGAGUAAAGCGGCGAACGGGUGAGUACGACGUGGAUAAUCUACCCUAGGGUCUGGGACAACCCCGAGAAAUCGGAGCUAAUACCGGAUAAGACCACAGUAUCCAAGGAUACAGUGGUGAAAGAUUUAUCGCCUUUGGAUGAGUCCACGUCCCAUCAGGUAGUUGGUAAGGUAAAAGCUUACCAAGCCUAAGACGGGUAGCCGGCCUUAGCGGGUGAACGGCCACAUGGGGACUGAGACACGGCCCUGACUCCUACGGGAGGCAGCAGUGGGGAAUAUUGGGCAAUGG